rnacentral:misc_RNA from 1 species
GAAUUAUCAAACACUUCUAUAAAUGAUGACUUAGCUUACAACAAGUUCUGUGUACGCCACUAUCAAACCUUUUAUUUAAAUAAAUACUACAAACAACUCUUUGAAGUAAAAUGAGUUAUUUUCCAAUGGAGAAGUAAUUGAUGAUGAGCCAGAGCCAAAGCAAAAGCAAAAGCUCAAGAGUUCAUUCUAGCUGAUAAACUGAAAUGAAAGACAUGAGAACACUUCCCAUCCAAAGCUUCCCAUCCCUCUCCUCUACCUCGCUGACAGCUCUAACGACUUUCCCUUGUCGAUCUUCCAAUAUCUGCAACAGCUUGCCCUCGGGGCUGUACUUCACGACAACUGCAGUGAACCUGCCACCAAUGUGAAUGAGGUAUUGGAGCUUUGCAGAGAUGGGAAGCUUCAGCAAGAAUUGACGGAGUCGAGGGUAUAUGCCAUUUAUGUAACUGUAAAUGGUACGACGACAGUGGAUUGCUACCCAAAACUCAUUUCUUUCGUUUGCUCUUACGUUGUCUGGAUAUCCAGGGAGGAUUGCUAUUACCUCUGAUGUACCGGCUUUCUCACCUUUCAGCCAGUACUUUCGUAACCUGCCCUUGGAACCUUCGCAAAAUAUAAAGAAGGAACCAUCCUUGCUUAGUGACAGACCAUUUGGAAAUUGAAGGUUGCGAAUAAGAAUAGUGGUUUCUUUCGUCCUAGGAUUGUAUUUGAGAACCUUCCCACUAUCUUCUGCUGAGAAAACCAGCUGUAUAAAAUUCCUGCGUUGGUACUUUGUGCUGCUAUCCGUAAAAUAAACAUUCCCUUCAUCAUCAACAUCCAAGUCAUUUGCAAAUCCUAUAGGUACCCCCUCAGCCUCAGUUGUCAAAGAUUCUGCUAAUCCACCUUCAGGGCCUACCUUCAUUAACCCCAAAUAUGCAUCGGCAAUAUAUAAGUCACCUGUUCUUUUGUCAAAUCGUAACCCCAAAGGCCUACCACAGAUGUGCUCGUACUUCCUAUAGCUCAACGCUGACGGUUUUGGAUCACACAAGCCUGACCUAUUAGCUGAAGUAGAAGCAAAAUCAUUCCAUUUUUCACCAUCCCAAAACACAACUCUUCCAUCAGCUAUCCCUGUAUAAGGUCCUCUACCCUGAGGAUCAAAAACAAUACUUUCUGGCCCCUGAAUUUGAUCCAAGAACUUAACUUCAGAUUUCUGAAGCAAAUUUUGUGAAUCUUUUUCAACUGGGAUUUCAGACCAAGCUGGCAUCUCAACCUUAAAAGACUCAAAAUUUGGGAACUCAGAAAUUGCACUAUGCUUAAAAGGGUCCAACCCACAAUACACUGCCAACACAAGGAACACUCCACCAAAUACUGAAACUGCUCUCAUUUUCUUGAUAAAAAUUGAAACUUUAUGAUAAUGGGGUUUGAGUAAAGGGAAAAUCUUGAAAUGGGGUUGAAAAUUUUGGAAUUAUAGUAUACCCCAAUAGAAGAAUUGUGAAAGAAUGUUUGCUAUCUAACAAGGUACAAUGAAAAAUUUUCUUGAAAAAAUAAUAGAGUGGUGUAC